GCUUCCGUAUCAGACUUAAAGCGCAUCAGUCGCAGCACAGACACUUCACUAUAUACACUUACGAUAUAUAUACUAUAUACCAACAUGCAAUUGAUCAAGAUUUGCGGUUUCGUCUUCGCUUUGAUUGUGGCCUUGGCCAGCGCUGAGCCUGAACCUCAAGGCACGCUGUUGAUCCAAACAAAGAAUGGCCAGGGCAUUUUCAGGGGCUAAAACUAAACUUUUUGGUUUAACUUAAGGAUAAAUGUGGCAUAAAAUAUAAAAUUUAAAAACUAAAAAA